ACGAGUUUGAUCCUGGCUCAGAUUGAACGCUGGCGGAAUGCUUUACACAUGCAAGUCGAACGGUAGAGGGGGCAACCCUUGAGAGUGGCGAACGGGUGAGUAAUAUAUCGGAACGUGCCCGGUCGUGGGGGAUAACGUAGCGAAAGCUACGCUAAUACCGCAUACGAUCUACGGAUGAAAGCGGGGGAUCGCAAGACCUCGCGCGAUUGGAGCGGCCGAUAUCAGAUUAGGUAGUUGGUGAGGUAAAGGCUCACCAAGCCGACGAUCUGUAGCUGGUCUGAGAGGACGACCAGCCACACUGGGACUGAGACACGGCCCAGACUCCUACGGGAGGCAGCAGUGGGAAUUUGGACAAUGGGCGCAAGCCUGAUCCAGCAAUGCCGCGCGCAGGAUGAAGGCCUUCGGGUUGUAAACUGCUUUGUACGGAACGAAACGGUGAGCUCUAAUACAGUUUGCUAAUGACGGUACCGUAAGAAUAAGCACCGGCUAACUACGUG
rnacentral:rRNA from 1 species